GACAGAGGCCCCGAGCGUUAGGCGGAAUCACUGGGCUUAAAGCGUGUGUAGGCGGGCCCGUAAGUGUCUUGUGAAAUCCCACGGCUCAACCGUGGAACUGCUGGGCAUACUGCGGGUCUUGGGCCAACUAGGGGCAGCCGGAACAAGCGGUGGAGCGGUGAAAUGCGUAGAUAUCGCGUGGAACGCCGAAGGUGAAAACAGGCUGCUGGGGUUGCGCCGACGCUGAGACACGAAAGCCAGGGGAGCAAACGGG
rnacentral:rRNA from 1 species